AUUGGUGCUUGCAUCAUGAUUUACAUUUGAGUGAGUGGCGAACUGGUGAGUAACACGUGGGAAACCUGCCCAGAAGCGGGGGAUAACACCUGGAAACAGAUGCUAAUACCGCAUAACAACUUGGACCGCAUGGUCCGAGUUUGAAAGAUGGCUUCGGCUAUCACUUUUGGAUGGUCCCGCGGCGUAUUAGCUAGAUGGUGGGGUAACGGCUCACCAUGGCAAUGAUACGUAGCCGACCUGAGAGGGUAAUCGGCCACAUUGGGACUGAGACACGGCCCAAACUCCUACGGGAGGCAGCAGUAGGGAAUCUUCCACAAUGGACGAAAGUCUGAUGGAGCAACGCCGCGUGAGUGAAGAAGGGUUUCGGCUCGUAAAACUCUGUUGUUAAAGAAGAACAUAUCUGAGAGUAACUGUUCAGGUAUUGACGGUAUUUAACCAGAAAGCCACGGCUAACUACGUGCCAGCAGCCGCGGUAAUACGUAGGUGGCAAGCGUUGUCCGGAUUUAUUGGGCGUAAAGCGAGCGCAGGCGGUUUUUUAAGUCUGAUGUGAAAGCCUUCGGCUCAACCGAAGAAGUGCAUCGGAAACUGGGAAACUUGAGUGCAGAAGAGGACAGUGGAACUCCAUGUGUAGCGGUGAAAUGCGUAGAUAUAUGGAAGAACACCAGUGGCGAAGGCGGCUGUCUGGUCUGUAACUGACGCUGAGGCUCGAAAGUAUGGGUAGCAAACAGGAUUAGAUACCCUGGUAGUCCAUACCGUAAACGAUGAAUGCUAAGUGUUGGAGGGUUUCCGCCCUUCAGUGCUGCAGCUAACGCAUUAAGCAUUCCGCCUGGGGAGUACGGCCGCAAGGCUGAAACUCAAAGGAAUUGACGGGGGCCCGCACAAGCGGUGGAGCAUGUGGUUUAAUUCGAAGCUACGCGAAGAACCUUACCAGGUCUUGACAUACUAUGCAAAUCUAAGAGAUUAGACGUUCCCUUCGGGGACAUGGAUACAGGUGGUGCAUGGUUGUCGUCAGCUCGUGUCGUGAGAUGUUGGGUUAAGUCCCGCAACGAGCGCAACCCUUAUUAUCAGUUGCCAGCAUUAAGUUGGGCACUCUGGUGAGACUGCCGGUGACAAACCGGAGGAAGGUGGGGAUGACGUCAAAUCAUCAUGCCCCUUAUGACCUGGGCUACACACGUGCUACAAUGGAUGGUACAACGAGUUGCGAACUCGCGAGAGUAAGCUAAUCUCUUAAAGCCAUUCUCAGUUCGGAUUGUAGGCUGCAACUCGCCUACAUGAAGUCGGAAUCGCUAGUAAUCGCGGAUCAGCAUGCCGCGGUGAAUACGUUCCCGGGCCUUGUACACACCGCCCGUCACAC
rnacentral:rRNA from 2 species